AACGGACGCUGGCGGCAGGCUUAACACAUGCAAGUCGAACGCCCCGCAAGGGGAGUGGCAGACGGGUGAGUAACGUGUGGGAAUCUACCGUGCCCUGCGGAAUAGCUCCGGGAAACUGGAAUUAAUACCGCAUACGCCCUACGGGGGAAAGAUUUAUCGGGGUAUGAUGAGCCCGCGUUGGAUUAGCUAGUUGGUGGGGUAAAGGCCUACCAAGGCGACGAUCCAUAGCUGGUCUGAGAGGAUGAUCAGCCACAUUGGGACUGAGAAACGGCCCAAACUCCUACGGGAGGCAGCAGUGGGGAAUAUUGGACAAUGGGCGCAAGCCUGAUCCAGCCAUGCCGCGUGAGUGAUGAAGGCCUUAGGGUUGUAAAGCUCUUUCACCGGAGAAGAUAAUGACGGUAUCCGGAGAAGAAGCCCCGGCUAACUUCGUGCCAGCCGCCGCGGUAACAC
rnacentral:rRNA from 1 species